UAGUUCGGAUUGUAGGCUGAAACUCGCCUACAUGAAGCUGGAAUUGCUAGUAAUCACAGGUCAGCAUACUGUGGUGAAUACGUUCCCGGGCCUUGUACACACCGCCCGUCACACCAUGAGAGUUGGGAACACCCGAAGUCCGUAGUCUAACCGCAAGGGGGCGCGGCCGAAGGUGGGUCCGGUAAUUGGGGUGAAGUCGUAACAAGGUAUC
rnacentral:rRNA from 1 species